GACGAACGCUGGCGGCGUGCCUAAUACAUGCAAGUGGAACGCACUGAUGAAGCCGUAGCUUGCUACAAUUUCAUCAGUGAGUCGCGAACGGGUGAGUAACGCGUAGGUAACCUGCCUGGUAGCGGGGGAUAACUAUUGGAAACGAUAGCUAAUACCGCAUAAGACAUUUUACUGCAUGGUAAGAUGUUAGAAGAUGCAACUGCAUCACUACCAGAUGGACCUGCGUUGUAUUAGCUAGUUGGUGAGGUAACGGCUCACCAAGGCCACGAUACAUAGCCGACCUGAGAGGGUGAUCGGCCACACUGGGACUGAGACACGGCCCAGACUCCUACGGGAGGCAGCAGUAGGGAAUCUUCGGCAAUGGGGGGAACCCUGACCGAGCAACGCCGCGUGAGUGAAGAAAGGUUUUUCGGAUCGUAAAGCUCUGUUGUAAAGAGAAAGAAACGCGUGUG
rnacentral:rRNA from 1 species